CCUACGGGCGGCUGCAGUGGGGGAUAUUGCACAAUGGGGGAAACCCUGAUGCAGCGACGCCGCGUGUGGGAAGACGGUCCUCCGGAUUGUAAACCACUGUCCCCAGGGACGAAGAUGACGGUACCUGGGGAGGAAGCUCCGGCUAACUACGUGCCAGCAGCCGCGGUAAUACGUAGGGAGCGGGCGUUGUCCGGAAUUACUGGGUGUAAAGGGAGCGUAGGCGGGGAUGCAAGUUGGGUGUCAAAACUACCGGCUCAACUGGUAGUCGCACUCAAAACUGCAGCUCUUGAGUGAAGUAGAGGCAGGCGGAAUUCCUAGUGUAGCGGUGAAAUGCGUAGAUAUUAGGAGGAACACCAGUGGCGAAGGCGGCCUGCUGGGCUUUUACUGACGCUGAGGCUCGAAAGUGUGGGGAGCAAACAGGAUUAGAUACCCUUGUAGUC
rnacentral:rRNA from 1 species